GCAUAUCAAUAAGCGGAGGAAAAGAAACUAACAAGGAUUCCCCUAGUAACUGCGAGUGAAGCGGGAAAAGCUCAAAUUUAAAAUCUGGUAGUCUCUGGCUGCCCGAGUUGUAAUCUAGAGAAGCGUUAUCCGUGCUGGACCGUGUAUAAGUCUCCUGGAAUGGAGCGUCAUAGAGGGUGAGAAUCCCGUCUUUGACACGGACUACCAGUGCAUUGUGAUGCGCUCUCAAAGAGUCGAGUUGUUUGGGAAUGCAGCUCUAAAUGGGUGGUAAAUUCCAUCUAAAGCUAAAUAUUGGCGAGAGACCGAUAGCGAACAAGUACCGUGAGGGAAAGAUGAAAAGAACUUUGGAAAGAGAGUUAAACAGUACGUGAAAUUGUUGAAAGGGAAACGCUUGAAGUCAGUCGCGUUAGCUUGGAAUCAGCCUUGCUUUUGCUUGGUGUACUUCCUUGUUGACGGGUCAGCAUCAAUUUUGACCGGUGGAGAAAGGCCAGUUGAAUGUGGCAUCUUCGGAUGUGUUAUAGCUUCUGGUCGUAUACAUCGGUUGGGAUUGAGGAACUCAGCACGCCGCAAGGUCGGGGUUCGCCCACGUUCGUGCUUAGGAUGCUGGCAUAAUGGCUUUAAUCGACCCGUCUUGAAACACGGACC
rnacentral:rRNA from 1 species